AGUUCGAUCAUGGCUCAGAUUGAACGCUGGCGGAUGCUUUACAUGCAAGUCGAACGGCAGCCUGGACUUCGGUCUGGUGGCGAGUGGCGAACAGGUGAGUAAUGUAUCGGAACGUGCCGAAGUAGCGGGGGAUAACUACGCGAAAGCGUAGCUAAUACCGCAUACGCCCUUCGGGGAAAAGCGGGGGGACCUUCGGGCCUCGCACACAAUGGAAGCGGCCGAUAUCGGAUUAGCUAGUUGGUGGGGUAACAGCUCACCAAGGCGACGAUCCGUAGCUGGUUUGAGAGGACGACCAGCCACACUGGGACUGAGACACGGCCCAGACUCCUACAGGGAGGCAGCGGUAAAUUUUGGACAAUGAAACCUGAUCCAGCCAUCCCGCGUGUGCGAUGAAGGCCUUCGGGUUGUAAAGCACUUUGGCGGGAAAGAAACGGCACGGGAUAUUACCCGUGCAACUGACAGCCUGCAGAAUAAGCACCGGCUAACUACGUGCCAGCAGCCGCGGUAAUACGUAGGGUGCAAGCGUUAAUCGGAAUUACUGGGCGUAAAGCGUGCGCAGGCGGUUCGGAAAGAAGAUACGAAAUCGAGGAAGCUUAACUUUGGAACUGCAUUUUUAACUACCGAGCUAGAGUGUGUCAGAAAUUGGAAUUCCGCGUGUAGCAGUGAAAUGCGUAGAUAUGCGGAGGGCACCGAUGGCGAAGGCAGCCUCCUGGGAUAACACUGACGCUCAUGCACGAAAGCGUGGGAGCAAACAGGAUUAGAUACCCUGGUAGUCCACGCCCUAAACGAUGUCAACUAGCUGUUGGGGCCUUCGGGCCUUGGUAGCGCAACUAACGCGUGAGAUUGACCGCCUGGGAUUACGGUCGCAAGAUUAAAACUCAAAGAAAUUGACGGGGACCCGCACAAGCGGUGGAUGAUGUGGAUUAAUUCGAUGCAACGCGAAAACCUUACCUACCGCCAGCGUGUCUGGAAUCCCGAAGAGAUUUGGGAGUGCUCGCAAGAGAACCGGAACACAGGUGCUGCAUGGCCGUCGUGGAACCAUUGUCGUGAGAUGUUGGGUUAAGUCCAUAACGAGCGCAACCCUUGUCAUUAGUUGCUACGAAAGGGCACUCUAAUGAGACUGCCGGUGACAAACCGGAGGAAGGUGGGGAUGACGUCAAGUCCUCAUGGCGCCUGGGUAGGGCUUCACACGUCAUACAAUGGUCGGGACAGAGGGUCGCCAACCCGCGAGGAGCCAAUCCCAGAAACCCGAUCGUAGUCCGGAUCGCAGUCUGCAACUCGACUGCGUGAAGUCGGAAUCGCUGGUAAUCGCGGAUCAGCAUGUCGCGGUGAAUACGUUCCCGGGUCUUGUACACGCGACUAACAGUCCGCGAUUACUAGCGAUUCCGACUUCACGCAGUCGAGUUGCAGACUGCGAUCCCAGACCACGAUCAGGUUUCGGGUUGGCACCUGUCCCGACCAUUGUAUGACGUGUGAGCCCCCGCCGGUAUGGCGGGCGCGGCGUCAUCCCCCCCGCUCCGGUUUUGUCACCGGCAUUAUUCGGUGGGGUGCCUUUCGCAACGGCUAAUGACGGGGUUGCGCUCGUUGCGGGACCCCCCCGUCGCCCGGCCGACGUUUUAGCCGCCGCCCCGCGGCCGCCUUCCCCGCGGCGUAAAUAACCGCCGAACCCGUAUUCGGGUAAAACGGAGUUUUUUCGCGUUGCGUCGGGGAGUCCCGUCCUCGUUUGUCCCCGGGGUCCCCCGUCGGCUCGCCCGGUAGUCCCCCCGCGACCCCGUAGUCCCGGGCGGUCCGGCCGCGCGCGUUAGCCGCCCGCGGGGCGAGGCCGGCAACCCGGAUUAAACGUGGACCUGACGUAGUCCUGUUUGCUUCCCCACUUCGUACAUGAGGCGUCGGUGUUAUCCCGGGAGAGGCUGCCUUCGCCAUCGGUGUUCCUCGCAUAUCUACGCGGUUCCCCCGCACGCGGGGCCCCCCCGCGACGGCGGCGAAAAUGCGGUUAGUUAAGCUCUGGGUUUCGCAUCUUCCGGGCCCGCCCCCCGCCCGGUAAUUCGGGGUUAGCGCCCGCCCCCCCCCGUAUUACCCGCCCUGCGUAAUUAGCCGGUUGUAUUCUGCAGGUACCCGUCAGUUGCACGGAGUGGCAUUUCUUUCCUGCCAAAAGGCGCCCCACGGCCCGGCUAUGCGCGGCGGAUCCCCCGCAUUAUUCCCCGCUCCGCGUAGUGUGUCUCAGUCUGGCUGUCGUCCUCUCAAACUACGGAUCGUCGCCUUGAUGGCCCAAUAAUCCGAUAUCGGCCCGUAAUAGUGCGGAAAUUUCCGGGGCUCCCCGCGAAAACGUAUGCCGUAUUAUACGCUUUCAAAAUGGUUAUCCCCUUUGCAUUACUCACCCGUUCGCCACUCGCCGCAGACCGAGUCCCGCUAACGCGUGACUUUGCGUAAGAGAAAUCUGAGCCAUGAUCGAACU
rnacentral:misc_RNA from 1 species